rnacentral:lncRNA from 1 species
CCAGAUGAAGUUUCCAAACGUGAGGUCAAGCUUUCCGUCCCAGUAGAAGAACUCCUGCAGUCAGGGAACGAAGCCGUCCAGGAGCCACAGCCUGUGCUUGAGGCCGUGCCUGAGGAUUCUGAAGAGGCUGCCAAGGAGGUGGAACCGGCCGAGGCAGUCGUAGCUCAAGUACCAACUGCCACAGUGGAUGACGUCUUACCUGCACACGAGGAAAUCAAGGAGGAAGAGAGCAUAGAGCCGGCCAAGGUGGCUCUGGAUGACCAGGUGGAGAAUGUCGAGCCCAAGGAGAGUGCUUCAGUCGCGAUCCUGGACGAGGGAGAAAAGUUGGCGGUGCCAGAGAUCGAGAGUGGUGCACCGGAUUCCAUGCAUGCGACAGAUGCCACAGUGGAGGACACACAGCGAGCAUCUUCUGCCAGUGAAGACGUUCACGAGAACGUGGAAGAGGAGCAAGCGAACGUUGCGGUGCCACAUCAAGUUUCCGAACGAGAGCUUGAGAUUGCCGUCCCAGUAGAAGGACUCCCACAGUUGGUGAACGAAGCCGUCCAGGAGCCACAACCUGUGCCUGAGGCCGUUCCCGAGCCAGAGGCCGUGCCUGAGGCUGCUGAAGAGGCUGCCAAGGAGGUGGAAGCGGCCAAGCCAGUCGUAGCUCAAGUACCAACCGCCACAGUGGAUGACAUCUUACCCACACACGAGGAAAUCAAGGAGGAAGGGAGCAUAGAGCCGGCCAAGGUGGCUCUGGAUGACCACGUGGAGAAUGUCGAGCCCAGGGAGAGUGCUUCAGUCGCGAUCCUGGACGAGGGAGAAAAGUUGGCAGUGCCAGAGAUCGAGAGUGGUGCACCGGAUUCCAUGCAUGCGACACAUGGUACAAUGGAGGACUCACAGCGAGCAUCUUCUGCCAUUGAGGACAUUCACGAGAACGUGGAAGAGGAGCAAACAAAAGUCGAGGUGCCACAUGAAGUUUCCGAACGCGAGGUCGAGCUUGCCGUCCCAGUGGAACAUCUCCCACAGUCAGGGAACGAAGAAGUCCAUGAGCCACAGCCUGUGCCUGAGGCCGUUCCCGAGCAUGAGGCCGUGCCUGAGGCUGCUGAAGAGGCUUCCAAGGAGGUGGAACCGGCCGAGCCAGUCGUAGAUGAAGUACCAACCGCCACAGUGGAUGACAUCUUACCCACACACGAGGAAAUCAAGGAGGAAGGGAGCAUAGAGCCGGCCAAGGUGGCUCUGGAUGACCAGGAGGAGAAUGUCGAGCCCAGGGAGAGUGCUUCAGUCGCGAUCCUGGACGAGGGAGAAAAGUUGGCGGUGCCAGAGAUCGAGAGUGGUGCACCGGAUUCCAUGCAUGCGACAGAUGCCACUGUGGAGGACUCACAGCGAGCAUCUUCUGCCAGUGAAGACAUUCACGAGAAUGUGGAAGAGGAGCAAACCAACGUUGACGUGCCACAUCAAGUAUCUGAACGCAAGGUUGAGAUUCCCGUCCCAGUAGAAGGACUCCCACAGUCAGGGAACGAAGAAGUCCAGGAGCCACAGCCUGUGCCUGAGGCCGUUUCCGAGCCAGAGGCCGUGCCUGAGGCUUCUGAAGAGGCUCACAAGGAUGUGGAAGCGGCCGAGCCAGUCGUAGCUCAAGUACCAACCGCCACAGUGGAUGACAUCUUACGCGCACACGAGGAAAUCAAGGAGGAAGAGAGCAUAGAGCCGGCCAAGGUGGCUCUGGAUGACCACGUGGAGAAUGUCGAGCCCAGGGAGAGUGCUUCAGUCGCGAUCCUGGACGAGGGAGAAAAGUUGGCGGUGCCAGAGAUUGAGAGUUGUGCACCGGAUUCCAUGCAUGCGACAGAUGCCACCGUGGAGGACACACAGCGAGCAUCUUCUGCCAGUGAAGACAUUAAUGAGAACGUGGAAGAGGAGCAAACAAAAGUGUAGGUGCCACAUGAAGUUUCCGAACGCGGGGUCGAGCUUGCCAUCCCAGUAGAAGAACUCCUGCAGUCAGGGAACGAAGCUGUCCAGGAUGCACAGCCUGUGCUUGAGGCCGUUCAGGCUUCUGAAGAGGCUGCCAACGAGGUGGAGUCGGCCGAGCCACUCGUAGCUCAAGUACCAACCGCCACAGUGGAUGACGUCUUACCCGCACACGAGGAAAUCAAGGAGAAAGAGAGCAUAGAGCCGGCCAAGGUGGCUCUGGAUGACCACGUGGAGAAUGUCGAGUCCAGGGAGAGUGCUUCAGUCGCGAUCCUGGACGAGGGAGAAAAGUUGGCGGUGCCAGAGAUUGACAGUGCUGCACCGGAUUCCAUGCAUGCAACAGAUGCCACCCUGGAGGACACACAGCGAGCAUCUUCUGCCAGUGAAGACAUUGACGAGAACGUGGAAGACGAACAAACCAACGUCGAGGUGCCACAUUUAGUUUCCGAACGCAAGGUCAAGCUUGCCGUCCCAGUAGAAGAACUCCCACAGUCAGGGAACGAAGAAGUCCAGGAGCCACAGCCUGUGCUUGAGGCCGUUUCCGAGCUUGAGGCCGUGCCUGAGGCUUCUGAAGAGGCUGUCAAGGAGGUGGAACCGGCCGAGCCAGUCGUAGCUCAAGUACCAACCGCCACAGUGGAUGACAUCUUACCUGCACACGAGGAAAUCAAGGAGGAAGAGAGCAUAGAGCCGGCCAAGGUGGCUCUGGAUGACAAGGUGGAGAAUGUCGAGCCCCGGGAGUGUGCUUCAGUCGCGAUCCUGCAGGAGGGAGAAGAGUUGGCGGUGCCAGAGAUCGAGAGUGGUGCACCGGAUUCCAUGCAUGCGACAGAUGCCACAGUGGAGGACACACAGCGAGCAUCUUCUGCCACUGAAGAAAUUCACGAGAACGGGGAAGAGGAGCAAAGCAAUGUCGAAGUGCCACAUGAAGUUUCCGAAGGGAAAUUCGAUCUUGCUGUCCCCGUAGAAGAACUCCCACAGUCGGGGAACGAAGAAGUCCAGGAGCCACAGCCUGUGCUUGAGGCCGUGCCUGAGGCUUCUGAAGAGGCUGUCAAGGAGGUGGAACCGGCCGAGCCAGUCGUAGCUCAAGUACCAACCGCCACAGUGGAUGACAUCUUACCCGCACAUGAGGAAAUCAAGGAGGAAGAGAGCAUAGAGCCGGCCAAGGUGGCUCUGGAUGACAAGGUGGAGAAUGUCGAGCCCCGGGAGUGUGCUUCAGUCGCGAUCCUGCAGGAGGGAGAAGAGUUGGCGGUGCCAGAGAUCGAGAGUGGGUCACCGGAUUCCAUGCAUGCGACAGAUGCCACCGUGGAGGACACACAGCGAGCAUCUUCUGCCAGUGAAGACAUUCACCAGAACGUGGAAGAGGAGAAAACCAACGGUUACGUGCCACAUCAAGUAUCCGAACGCGAGGUUGAGAUUGCCAUCCCAGUAGAAGGACUCCCGCAGUCGGGGAACGAAGACGUCCAGGAGCCAGAACAUGCGCUUGAGGCCGUUCAGGCUUCUGAAGAGGCUGCCAACGAGGUGGAGUCGGCCGAGCCACUCGUAGCUCAAGUACCAACCGCCACAGUGGAUGACGUCUUACCCGCACACGAGGAAAUCAAGGAGAAAGAGAGCAUAGAGCCGGCCAAGGUGGCUCUGGAUGACCACGUGGAGAAUGUCGAGUCCAGGGAGAGUGCUUCAGUCGCGAUCCUGGACGAGGGAGAAAAGUUGGCGGUGCCAGAGAUUGACAGUGCUGCACCGGAUUCCAUGCAUGCAACAGAUGCCACCCUGGAGGACACACAGCGAGCAUCUUCUGCCAGUGAAGACGUUCACGAGAACGUGGAAGAGGAGCAAGCGAACGUCGCGGUGCCACAUCAAGUUUCCGAACGAGAGCUUGAGAUUGCCGUCCCAGUAGAAGGACUCCCACAGUUGGUGAACGAAGAAGUCCAGCAGCCACAGCCUGUGCUUGAGGCCGUUCCCGAGACAGAGGCCGUGCCUGAGGCUUCUGAAGAGGCUGCCAAAGAGGUGCAACCAGCCGAGCCACUUGUAGCUCAAGUACCAACCGCGAAAGUGGAUGACAUCUUACCCACACACGAGGAAAUCAAGGAGGAAGAGAGCAUAGAGCCGGCCAAGGUGGCUGUGGAUGACCACGUGGAGAAUGUCGAGCCCAGGGAGAGUGCUUCAGUCGCGAUCCUGCAGGAGGGAGAAAAGUUGGCGGUGCCAGAGAUCGAGAGUGCUGCACCGGAUUCCAUGCAUGCGACAGAUGCCACCCUGGAGGACACACAGCGAGCAUCUUCUGCCAGUGAAGACAUUGACGAGAACGUGGAAGAGGAGCAAACCAACGUUGACGUGCCACAUCCAGUAUCCGAACGCGAGCUUGAGAUUCCCAUUCCAGUAGAAGGACUCCCGCAGUUGGGCAACAAAGAAGUCCAGGAGCCAGAGCAUGCGCUAGAGGCCGUUCUCGAGCUAGAGGCCGUGCCUGAGGCUUCUGAAGAGGCUCCCAAGGAGGUGGAACCGGCCGAGCCAGUCGUAGCUCAAGUACCAACUGCCACAGUCGAUGACGUCUUACCCGGACACGAGGAAAUCAAGGAGGAAGGGAGCAUAGAGCCGGCCAAGGUGGCUGUGGAUGACCAAGUGGAGAAUGUCGAGCGCAGGGAGAGUGCUUCAGUCGCAAUCCCGGACGAGGGAGAAAAGUUGGCAGUGCCAGAGAUUGAGAGUUGUGCACCGGAUUCCGUGCAUGCGACAGAUGCCACCGUGGAGGACACACAGCGAGCAUCUCCUGCCAGUGAAGACAUUAAUGAGAACGUGGAAGAGGAGCAAACAAAAGUCGAGGUGCCAGAUGAAGUUUCCAAACGUGAGGUCAAGCUUUCCGUCCCAGUAGAAGAACUCCUGCAGUCAGGGAACGAAGCUGUCCAGGAUGCACAGCCUGUGCUUGAGGCCGUUUCCGAGCUUGAGGCCGUGCCUGAGGCUGCUGAAGAGGCUGCCAAGGAGGUGGAACCGGCCGAGGCAGUCGUAGCUCAAGUACCAAUCCGCACAGUGGAUGACGUCUUACCCGCACACAAGGAAAUCAAGGAGGAAGAGAGCAUAGAGCCGGCCAAGGUCGCUGUGGAUGACCAUGUGGAGAAUGUCGAGCCCAGGGAGAGUGCUUCAGU